rnacentral:misc_RNA from 1 species
UAAAAUCGUUGAAAAAUUCUUUUCCUCUUCUCUUCUCCAAAAUUCUCAAUAAUGAUACCCAGAAAGAAUAUGGGUCGGGUUUCGCCAUUGUUACUGAUCUUACUUGCAUUAGGUUUCUUCUUUGCAACAUACAAUUUGGUUACAUUGAUAAUUCACUAUAGGGCAACGACAAGUAGCAGUUUUAGUAUUAGUACUAGUGGUAGUAGUAGUAAUGGUGGAGGAGGAUCGGAAUGGUUUGACCCGGUUAAGGAAUCCAAUUUAGUGAAAUCCGGUGACCGGAAAUUCCACGUGGCAUUGACGGCGACUGAUGCGCCGUACAGUAAGUGGCAGUGUAGGAUUAUGUAUUAUUGGUAUAAGA